rnacentral:rRNA from 1 species
UACAGAGGUCUCAAGCGUUGUUCGGAUUCAUUGGGCGUAAAGGGUGCGUAGGCUGUGGGGUAAGUCUGGUGUGAAAUCCCGGAGCUCAACUCCGGAACUGCACUGGAUACUGCUUUACUAGAGCACUGGAGAGGGAACUGGAAUUUACGGUGUAGCAGUGAAAUGCGUAGAUAUCGUAAGGAAGACCAGUGGCGAAGGCGAGUUCCUGGACAGUUGCUGACACUGAGGCACGAAGGCUAGGGGAGCAAACGGG